rnacentral:rRNA from 1 species
CGGUAAUACUUUUUAAGAAAACCAAUGCCCUUUGGCGGCCUUUUAUUUUAUCAGAGGAACUCGUAUCUUAAUCCGAUAAUCCCCGUUAAUUCUCUCUACUAUUUAGUAUUUAUAUCGCCGUCCCCCAGAUGAAAGUUUUAUCUCUCAUCCUUAUAGUUAUAUUCUAAUACAUCAGGUCGAGAUAAAGCUCAUAUUAUAGCGAACCGAGUUACAUAUCCUUUUCAAUGAUACUUUUUUAUUCAACUUUAAAAAAUUUCAGGAUUUGACAGUAAUAAGAAAGUAAUUUUUUCUUGUGAACUUUCCAUUAAGGUGU